UUUUCUUUGCCCAUUUUCAUGGUAAUAUUUGUUUUGCAUUUGCAGUGCAAAUGAUUUUAAUAAAAAUGGGCGCAAAUUUAGAAAUUAAACAUCUCAAACGUCUCCGAAAGCAUUUUUUAUGGCUUUUUAUGAAACUUGACUUGGAUAGUUUAUUCUUCUGGUAUGAUGGUACUUAUACAAUUAUAAAGACAACUUAUAAAAAAAGACAAAACUUGUUACAGGAAAAGCUGUUAUCUAAUUAUGUUGCUGUUGCUCAUAAUUGCCAUUCUAAAUACGUUCGCUUUGGUGGAGUAUGGUUAUUCCUGCUCAUCAAAGACAGAAGCAGAACGUAUAAAUUUCGGCAUGAAACUGCAGCAUGCCCUCCUGGAAUUCACAGACUCUUUUUUGCCACAUAUGAAAGAGGAAGAAGAGAAAACAGGAGACGCCAGUAGAAUUGGUGAAAAUACGUUCCUUCAUCCAUUUUCCUGUAACAAGACAGAAGCAACAUGAAUUUGAUCUCGCAAUGUAGUAUGGAAACUGGAAAUGUUAAUGUAGAGGUGGAUUGAUUAUAAAGAUAGUCCAUCUUUUCAUUACCAUUUCGAAGGUUUUCAUACACACCUACAGUCAUCAUCAGGAAUUAUCUUCAUCAACUAUAGUCAUUAGCUAGUUCUUCAACUGUAAUUGAUGAGUUUCAAAUAUUUAUUGUAUGUGGAAUUGUAUUCUAAAGUGUCUACUUUGUGUUAUAAAGUUGUAAAAUUUGUUCUCUAUUUUUAUCAAAAUUGAAAUUUAUCAGUGGCAUAGUGGUGGUGACCCUGUGGAUAUAAUUCGAAUUUUUCACAUCUUGUAUUUAUUAAGAGUUUUUUAAGUGUAAAUUUCAUUGCAGUACAAUGCGCUUUUCUUGGCUGUCAUUACUUAGGGGCACUGUAAUUGUGAACUCCAUCUGGGGCAUGAUUUUUUUUUUUUCUGAUCAUAUUUUCCUUUAAAAGGAGAUAAAAUUUUGUCUCCAUAGCAUGGCCCCUAAGACUGGUGCCUCAGUUAUUUAUAGCUUGUUCGUUACACCUCUGUAUUAGGAUAUUUUACAGAAUUUUUUCAGAGCUGUCUGAAGAAUGUAUUACUUAUUUUAUUUUAAUAUUGGCUGCAGAAUUUAAAUUUUCUAAUUUUAACCUUCAUUUUUUUUUUUUUAAUAUGAUAUAUCUAUGUACCUGAUAGCAAUUCAGAACUUAAUUUCUCUCUUUCUCUGUGUGUGUAUAUAUAUAUGUAACAUAUUUUGGUUUAAGUAGAAUGCAGGUUUGAAGACAUAGACGAGACGUUGUAUUUUUAAUUCCGUUUUAUUCUCUCUCGGGAGGCAAACAUGAUUAUUUACAAAAAGGCACAACUCAGCACAAAAACAGAAGGCAAAAAGGGGUCGAACAAAUGAUUGAUUGCCUUAUAUAGCAUAGGAUUUCUGGCCACGUGCCGCAGGAGUGACCUUAGACAAGGGCAAAAGUAUCACUUUUAUUUGAUACUUAGUACUGAUGGCGUAUUAUUUUUACAAAAGGAUUAAUUAAACCGAAAGUGGAAUUGGAUCAUGAAAUAAGAGAAUAUUUUAGAAUGAAGUUACUAUGGGCUAAAUUUAGAUAAAUUCUUGUAAAUUAAUUAAAUUGAAAUUAGAAUUAAAAUAUCAUUACAUAUAUAUAUAUAUAUAUAUAUAUAUAUAUAUAUAUAUAUAUAUAUAUCGCAGUAUUAAUAAUACAAUAUUAUUGUUGUAAAAUGAAGUAAAUAUUUUGUUGUGCUUUUGACAAAUUUUUAAAACAUUGUUUUUCCAUGGCAUCAGAUAACUGUAAGGAUCUGAUUUAAUAUAUCUGGAAACAGAUAUCUGUUGUGCGUUUUGAAAGAAAAAAAUGCUGCAUUAUGAAGCGAAUUUUACUAAAAGAAUUUGUGGAUGUUUUUUAUAUAUGAUGUUGUAUUUAACUGUAUGUUAUUAAUCAGUGUUUAUCAAUGUUUUCUGCACUCAUGUCCAUAAAUUAAGGAUAAUUCAGAGUCACGCGGAAAUAGAACUCUAAAAUACAUAUAUCAACCUUAAAAUGACUACACACAUCUUCAAAAAUCAUAUACAAAUUGCAGGAACCCACCAGAUGAAACCGAUAUUACGUCACAAUGACGAGAGUGUAAGAAAGUGAUGUAUAAGGAAUACAGGCAAAGAAGUAAUAUUGUUCGCAAGCUCUUUAUAAGCCUAUCAAUGUAAUAACCGCAUAGUUAUGACACAAAGGACGCAUUUGGAUGAUUUUUUACGUGUUAGAAUUAUCUUCCGUUUCUAAUGGGGGUGUACCCAGCUGGAAGUGUCCAAGGAACUUGGAAUCGCCCAGAGUGUCAACCACCUCCUACAUAUCUACCGAACUUCGGAGAACAUUGCUUGAUGAGUGGUGUAAUAUUCCCCGAGAUCAGAUCGAUAAUUUGAUUGUACGGCCUGUAUUGCAACGUCUGGGAGACAUACUAUGUAUUAACCAUCAUACCAACCAUGUAAUUUUGGUUUUUAAAAAUGUUUUUUGUAAUUAGCUCCAGGGAGCAAAAAAUCGCAAUUUUUAUAAAUGAUAUCAAACAUAUAGCAUCUUUUUUGCUUUUUAUCUUUUGUUUAACAAAUAGGUUUUACAAAUAAAUUCACAUUUGUUUUUCUUCUGACUCUUUUCCUGAACUUGCAUUAUCCUUAAUUUAUAGACAUGAGUGUAGUAUUAAAAGAAAUAUAUAUUAUGUAAUUAUCUAUUUAUGUAAAAGUAAUAGGGAGCAUUCAUUACUUAAUACAUUUUUAUAAUACAUUGAAGAACCAGAAAAACUGAUAUAGCAGGUCGUAUGAAAAUAAUGGAGGUGUUCAACCAAUCAGUAUGAUACGAGAAGGCCGACAGUGCAUAUCUAAGACCACAGGUGUCUCAGGUCGCUAUUACGUCGAUUUUUACUAUUACAAUCGCAGGGUUAUCAAGAUUUAAGUGAUUUUCAACAGGGACUAAUAUUCUUCGCACGAGAGAUGGUUCACAGCAUUUCGGAAGUAGCGAUGAAAUUUGGAUUUUGGCGCACGAUCUUUUCAAGGGUGUACAGCGAAUAUCAGAUUUCCGGUAAAACUUGACGGCAGAAAACAAUCAUUACACAAGAUAGACGUUCAACACUUCCUCAAGUUGCUGUGGAUUUCAAUGCAAGCCAUCAACAAGUGUAAGCAUACGCAUUGUGCAACGUACCCUAAUUGACAUGGGCUUUAGCAGCCGCAGACCAUCUCGUGUACCAUUGUUGACAUAGUGGCACAAAGCUCUACGUCUUGCUUGGGCUCGCCAACACCGUCAUCUGAAAACGUAGUCUGGUCUGACGAGUCACGUUUCCAAUUGUAUCCGGAUGCUGGCUGCGUACGGGUUUGUGAAGAAAAUCCAUGGAUCCCUCAUGCCUACAAGGAACUGUUCAAACUGAUGGCGGCUCUGUGAUAGCAUGGGGCGUGUACAGUUGGCAUGAAAUGAGACCGUUGGUACGGCUUAACUUGACCAUGACAGGUCAGCGGUACGUUAACAUCCAUUCAUGUCCUGUGUGCAUUCGCACGGACGUAGACAAUUCCAACAGGAUAAUGCACCAACUCACAGGUCUACAAUAGCUACCGAAAGGCUUCAAGAGCACUUUUCUGAAUUUUUUUCCCUCUCUUGGCCACCUAAUUCUCUUAACAUGAACAUUAUCGAGCAUAUAUGGGAUGUUUUGCAAGAUGCUGUCCUUAGGAGUUCUCAACCACCUCGCAUUCUCAUGGCUUUAUGGACUGCCUUGCAGGAAUCAUGGUAUGAACUUGUCUGCAGAAUAUCUUCACUAAUUAGUUGAAUCCAUGCCGCGCCGUGUUGCAGCAAUUCUGCGUGCUCGUGGGGGCUCUACACCAUAUUAGAUUGUUGUAUCAGUUUUUCUGGCACUUCAAUGUAUAUGUAUUCAAUUUCACAUUACAGUCAAGUGUUUGAAAAGUGAAACAAAUACUUUGCCAUUUAUUAUUGUUUUAAUUUAUUGCUUUAAAAUUGGUUGGUCGGUUUUCACGUCUAGUCAACAUCAAAGUCUUUUUAAGUGUAAACUUCAUUUGACUAUAAAAUGUGAUUUCCUUGGUUACUCAUGGUUACUUCAUGUGUUACUCAUGGGGACAGUAAUUGUGAACUCCAUCCGGAGUAUGAUUUAUGUUUUCUAAUCAUAUUUUCCUUUAGAAAUUUUAUCUUCAUAGCAUGUCCCUAAGACUGGUACUCAGGUAUUUAUAGCCUUGGGUGCUACGCCUCUGAAUUAUGAUGUUUUACGUAAUUUUUUCACGGCUGUCUGAAGAAUCUAUUUUUUAUUUGAUUUUAAUAAUGGCUAUAGAAUUUCAAUUUUCUAAUUUUAACCUUAAUUUUUUUUACUAUGAUCUAUCUAUGUACCUGAGUGCAAUUCAGAACCUAAUUUCUUAAUAAUAUUAUUCAUCUCUCUCUCUCUCUUUCUAUAUGUGUGUGUAUAUAUAUGUGGUUAUCAAAAUAAUGGAAAUACCUGUGAAUAAAUGUGUUAUUUUUGAAUGCUCUUCGUAAGCAUUAAAAUACAAUAAUAAUAUCCUUCAGGUGUUUUCUAGAAAUAGCAAUGUAUGCAUUCGGGUAGUAUGUCUUAGCUAUAUUGAAGUUCUGUAAUUCUUGGAUUUUUUUCAAAAGCGGACAUCUGAGAUUUUCAAAGAGGCGAAAUUGCAGGAGCCCAUCUAACUGGAGCAAGUGUGACAGAAACAUCCCAACUUUUAGGCGCUUCUAGAGGUACGGCAUCUAAAGUCAUGACAGCAUACACACAGCGGGUCAAGACAAGCUCGACAAAGCAAAAUAGUGGGCUGAAAGAGAAGCCCAGUAAAAGAGACUGACGGGUAUUGAACCGGAUUGUAAUGUCUAAAACAACAGAAAAAUGACGCAGUGUUCAUUUCCCAUCUGGAUUCUCCAGUGUCAGUGAUUACAGUUAGAAGGCACCUUCAUAAACAGAACAUUUAUGGCAGAGUAGCAAUUCCCAAGCCAUUUGUCACAGAUGUUAAUGGUAAACAUCGUCUACAAUAUUGUCACACUCACAAAACCUGGUCGAUUGAUAAGUUGAAGAAAGUGAAUCUGAUGAAAAGUGAAACUGACGAAUCGUGUUUCACACUUUUCCCUGCAACAGGACAGGUGCACGUUUGGAGGACACCUGCACAAGCGUAUGAUCGGGAUUGUCUCUUUCCAACUGUCAAGCAUAGAGGUGAAUAUGUCUUGAUAUAGGCAGCCAUGUCGUGGUUUUCUGCUAGACCAAUCGUAACCCUGAUACGAAGGAUCACUGGGGAGAAGUUUAGAGAAAUUUUAGCUGACCAGGUUCAUCCUAUGAUGCAAACUUUGUUUCCUGCAAGAGAUUGUCUUUUCCAAUAAUGAUAAUGCACUUAUGUGUGCAGCGAGACUUGUCCAAUUAUGGUUUGAUGAACACGAGGAUGAAGUUAAACAUCUGCCUUGGCCCGCACAGUCACCCAAUCUCAAUAUAAGAGAAACAGUAUGGUCUAUUUUAGAGUGUUCAAUAUGGAAUCGAUAUCCUCGACCGGCAUCUCUCCCAGAACAUUUACAAUAUCUCAAGGAAGAAUGGUACAAUAUUCCUCUUAAACAUUAUUCAACACUUGUAUAAAUCGAUUUCUAAGCAAAUCCAAGCUGUGUUACAUGCCAUAGGCGGUCCUAUACCAUACUAAUUAAGGAUUCUGUAUAAAUAUAAGGCGUUUACAUUAUUUUGAUAACCACCUGUAGUUUAAUAAUACAAAAUUGUUAUUGUAAAGUGAAAUAAAUAUAUUGUUGUGCUUUUGACAAAUUUUUAAAACAUUUUUUUUACAUGGCAUCAAAUUAAUUUAAGAACCUAAUUUAAUAUUUCUCGAAACAGAUAUCAGUUGUGCUUUUUGAAAGAAAAGAAAAAUAAUUGCUUUCUGAAGCGAAUUUUACUAAAAAGAUGUGCAACUAUUUUUUGAAUAUUAUUUUAUUUAACUGUAUCCUGUUUAUCAAUGUUUCCCAGUUUUGCCAGAAAUAUAUAUUAUAUGAUUAUCUUAUCUGUUCAUGUGAAUGUAAUAAAUAGGAAACGUUCAUUAUUAUAUAUUUAUAAUUUAUAUAUUCAGUUCCACAAUCUAAUGAAGGUUUUGAAGUGUGAAAUAAAUAUUUUGCCAUGCAUUCUUGUUUUAAUUUAUUGCUUUAAAAUUGGUUGGUUGGUUGGUUUUCUUGUCUAGUCACCAUCAAGGAUUUUUUAAGUGUAAACUUCACUUGAAUAUGAUGUGAUUUUCUUGGCCGUCGUUUCUCAUGGGCACUAUAACUGUGAACUCCAUCUGGGGUAUGAUUUAUGUUUCCUAAUCAUAUAUAUAUAUAUAUAUAUAUAUAUAUAUAUAUAUAUAUAUAUAUAUAUAUAUAUAUAUAAUAUUGCUUUAUGAAGCGAAUUUUAUUAAAAUAAUUUGUAGCUUUUUUAUGUAUAUGAUGAUAUAUUUAGCUCUGUGUUGUUAAUCAGUGUAUCAAUGUUUCCUAGGUUUGCAAAAAAUGUAUAUUAUGUCAUUAUCUUAUCUGUUUGUGUGAAUAUAAUAGGAAAAAUUCAUUAUUUAAUAUAUAUUUAUAACUUAUGUAUUCAGCUUAACAAUAUUGUCAAAAUUUUG